UACGUAGGGAGCAAGCGUUGUCCGGAAUCAUUGGGCGUAAAGCGCGCGUAGGCGGCCCCGUAAGUCCGCUGUGAAAGUCAAAGGCUCAACCUUUGAAAGCCGGUGGAUACUGUGGGGCUAGAGCCCGGAAGAGGCGAGUGGAAUUCCUGGUGUAGCGGUGGAAUGCGCAGAUAUCAGGAGGAACACCAAUAGCGAAGGCAGCUCGCUGGGACGGUACUGACGCUAAGGCGCGAAAGCGUGGGGAGCGAACAGG
rnacentral:rRNA from 1 species